UGUCACCCCCAGGGGCUGGCUAUGUUUGACUGAAGCAACGCCCCUUCUCAACUUCCACCUCGAGGAGGUCCCCAAAGCCAACCCAAUGACCAGACAAACACGAGAACAGGGAGACUGCAGCCACGGGCAGGCAGGGACAAGGGCAACGGGGGUGCAGACCACCGUAAGCCGGGGGGAGGGGAAACGUCAGGCUCCGGCCUGGUCCCUGCUAUCCGUGGCGCCCUCCUUCUUCCUUCCUGGAGGCAGAGUACAAACAGUGCGACUGGUGGCCGCUGAGACACAAAAGCACUGUUAACUUGGACUUGGGGUGGCCGCUGGGACACAAAAGCACUGUUAACUUGGACUUCGAACACUCCUCGCUGGUUCUGCUGUUUACAGCUCUUGGUAGGUAUAGCUCUCCACAGUCUGUUCUCUUAAUGUUCACUCUCGUUCUCCUUUUGCUCCACAGGUGACUACUGGGACACAAAAGCACUGUUAACUUGAACUUCAAAUACCUCUCACCGGCUCUGCUGUUUACAGCUCUUGGCGACCGCUGGGACACAAAGCACUGUUACUUGGAUUUUUGGAUGCUUCUCACCUGGUCUGCUGUUUACAGCUCUUGGUAGGUAUAGCUUUCCACAGUCUGUUCUCCUAAUGUUCACUCUCGUUCUCCUUUUGCUCCACAGGCGACCGCUGGGACACAAAGCACUGUUACUUGGAUUUUUGGAUGCUUCUCACCUGGUCUGCUGUUUACAGCUCUUGGUAGGUAUAGCUUUCCACAGUCUGUUCUCCUAAUGUUCUCUCUCGUUCUCCUUUUGCUCCACAGGUGACCGCUGGGACACAAAGCACUGUUACUUGGAUUUUGGAUGCUUCUCACCUGGUCUGCUGUUUACAGCGCUUGGUAGGUAUAGCUUCCUCCGCAGGUCCAGCAGAGGGGCGAAGAUGGCACACCGCCUCACCGGGUCGAGCGCUGCCCUAUCCUCACUACCCGUAGGGCGAUCGAAUCCUGGACAGGGGCGCCCCUUUGUAGAGACCACGGGGCGGCGGAACUCUUUCGCCUCCGCCUCUGCGACAGGGGCGGACACAGCACACUGCGUAUAGUAGCUGGUAAUUCCUGAGGUCGUUAGCCUCUCCGUCCUCUGCCCAGUGAAAAAUGGAUGAUGCGGGGUUUCGUCUGACAAGACACACAGCAACCCACAGCAAAUACACAGCACCACUUCAACGUGAAAAGUUUACUAAUUGCAAAGACUCACUCACCACACUAUCAGUGUACACAACAAAGGACGCCCUGCGUUCUCCACUUCGUUUGGGCUGGAUGAGGGCGAUGGAAAUACGACCGGAAUGGUAGUUCGUUGCUGUGGCUGUUUGGAUGGACGCUUCUGCAGCUCACCCACCACGCUGUUUCAGGGGUAGGGCCGCCCUCCUUCUCCUGUAGGUAUCCAACGAUUGCACAGGAUCUUCCUUUAACUCCAGCGUUUCCACCGCAAACUACAACGAGAGAGAGAGA